CAUGAGUGGUGUUCGGCGCGUUGCGUCCGCGGAUUCCCCUGCCCGUGCAGCCGACCGCGGGCGCAUCGCGCGUCUCGUUCGUCCCAACGCGACUCGACGGCUUGGAGGGCUCCCUCGGUGCGGUCUGUGCUUCGUAGCCAGAAUGCGGCAACCUCGCGACCGACGACCGGACGUCGGCUCUCCCCUCCCUCCGGCGGGGCGAGCCGACCGGCUGCGGCCCCCUGCUCCCUGCGUUGCUCUCGGCGAACGGGCGGCCCUCGGGGCGAUCGCGUGCUAUGCGGAUCGGUGGAAACGGUUGAGCCCGGGGCUUUCGCGCCCCGGCCGCUCUUCGGAGUGGCUGGCGAGGCGGAGAGGCGCGGCGCGGGUCCCGACCCCAUCCGCGCACCCGCCGGACCUGCCGGCGCGGCGUUCGAACGACCGCCGGCGCGUUCCGACCCCCGACCCGCUGGCCGGGGACGGCGGGAGGCCUCGCGCGCGGCGUCGC
rnacentral:misc_RNA from 1 species